AGCCCUUCCCCCCAUGGCCCCGCCCACCACUCUAGCCACGCCCCUUCCGGACCAGGUGCCUCCCGGCUGCUGGCUCUAGCCCUUCCUCGCGUGGCCCCGCCCCGCCCUCGCCCCCUGCCCAGGCCCGGCCCCUGCGGAGACCAGAGACGCGCGGACGCAGGCUCGAGGCGUCUGCCGAACCUCAGCCCAGGAUCUGCCCCUUUGGGAGGUGCGGGCCGCGGCCAGGCUCUGACCUCAACCUGGCACAGAGGCUCCGGCCCUCAGGCAAGAUUCUCCGGGUAAGUGUGGGGCCCUGAGGCGCUGUGGGGUGAAGAGGUCUAUGCAGGGGCCGCUGUGUACCUAGGAUCUUCCUGCACUCACAAACCCCCGGGAGGUGCCAGGACCCGGGAGGCUCCCAGGGCCUGGAGGGGCGUCCCUGAUGGGUUUCUGCCGCCACAGCUGUGACUCUCACGGGAGUGGCUCUUGUGUCUUUAGACCUCUGUGCCGAUGACCUGGGAGGAAGGUCAGCUUUCCCUACUGGAGGGGGCCCAGCAAAGCCUCAGCCCCUAGAAGUGAGGGGCCUGCCACUGCCUGCCCAAGGACCCCACUCCUGGGGGCCAGAUGCUGAGAAGGGACACUGGGGCCCAGCAGACCGGAGAGCUAACCCCAGUCCCACAGCCUGGGUGGGUUGUCAAUUUCUGGCACCCCUGCACCCCUGCACCCCUUCCCCUUAGGUAAAUAGGAGGUCGAAACAGAGGCCAGAGGGUAAAGGAGGUAAUUAGAGUCUGGGCUGGCUCAGGCUGGCCGGGCAGCUGUGCUAGUGCUUGGAGUUCCUACUCAGUCCCUGCGGUCUCCUGGCCUCUGUGGGCACUUGGGCUGCCAGGCACCGAGCUGAGCUGGGCUGUCCUGCAGCCCCCCAGCCCACGACCCUCCUGUCUCUGUAGGGACUCCCUGAGGCCUUGAAUCCACCCCGGCCCUGUGCUCAGUGCAUCGUGCCCCCCAAGCCCCAGCCCUCCCAGAGGUGUGGGUGGGGGAGGGGCUGCAACCCACACAGGCCAAGGACACAGCUGCUGCCACUGCCUGAGAC
rnacentral:lncRNA from 1 species